AACACAAAAAGACAGCAAAAACCGCGCCAUGGGGUUGUGAUUGGUUGAAAAGUGGGCGGAGCUAAGCCCUGAUUGGUCGUGCUUCAAAAUUGAAAAAUCUCGAUUUUUU
ensembl:ncRNA Y47D3A.35 ncRNA